AAAUUGAAGUUGAAGUAUAAGGAGAAUUUUUACAUCACCCAGGUUCUAAUUUGGAAGGUUUCUAACAGCCCUCUGUCCUCUUCUGGUGCUCACUGUGAAAGAAUUUGCACCCUGCAACACUAAGUGUUUGUGCUAGAAUCCACUUCUGAUGUUGGCUGCUCUGACACAGCUUCCAUUCGGAUGUCCUCUAUGCAGUUGCCUUGUCUAGAUGUAGGACACUGAGAAUUUACCACCCUUCCAGCAUUGACGUGCUCUCUAGGUGGCUCAAGAAUUCUUGGCUGUGUCUCCACCAGGCUUCAAGACCCUCCAUUAGCCUGGCUUUUGGACCUCUGUGGUUCCAGCCCUUGCUAGACACGGGUUUCUCUAAGAGAUCUGUAUUCUCCACAGUCUGUAUACAGAAAAGAUAGUCUCAAAUCUCCUCUGAUUUAGGGCCCUGAUAAAAAUUACUUGGUCUUCUACU
rnacentral:lncRNA from 1 species